rnacentral:misc_RNA from 1 species
UGCGCGUCGGGAACUCGACGGCGACAAGGACGGCAGACCUCGCGCCCAAGGCGAUGCCCGUGCUGUAGCGAUUUGAAACGGUUUAGCUAACGAAAGGAGAGGGUUGAAUCGAGUUCGCUCGUUCACCCUUUCCCAUCCUGGACCUCAGCUCAGGCGUGACUACCCGCUGAAUUUAAGCAUAUCAAUAAG